rnacentral:rRNA from 1 species
GUUCUGUAAGCCUGCGAAGGUGUGCUGUGAGGCAUGCUGGAGGUAUCAGAAGUGCGAAUGCUGACAUAAGUAACGAUAAAGCGGGUGAAAAGCCCGCUCGCCGGAAGACCAAGGGUUCCUGUCCAACGUUAAUCGGGGCAGGGUGAGUCGACCCCUAAGGCGAGGCCGAAAGGCGUAGUCGAUGGGAAACAGGUUAAUAUUCCUGUACUUGGUGUUACUGCGAAGGGGGGACGGAGAAGGCUAUGUUGGCCGGGCGACGGUUGUCCCGGUUUAAGCGUGUAGGCUGGUUUUCCAGGCAAAUCCGGAAAAUCAAGGCUGAGGCGUGAUGACGAGGCACUACGGUGCUGAAGCAACAAAUGCCCUGCUUCCAGGAAAAGCCUCUAAGCAUCAGGUAACAUCAAAUCGUACCCCAAACCGACACAGGUGGUCAGGUAGAGAAUACCAAGGCGCUUGAGAGAACUCGGGUGAAGGAACUAGGCAAAAUGGUGCCGUAACUUCGGGAGAAGGCACGC